rnacentral:rRNA from 1 species
GUUCAAUAGGGCGGUACCUUGACGGUACCUAACCAGAAAGCCACGGCUAACUACGUGCCAGCAGCCGCGGUAAUACGUAGGUGGCAAGCGUUGUCCGGAAUUAUUGGGCGUAAAGCGCGCGCAGGCGGUCUUUUAAGUCUGAUGUGAAAGCCCCCGGCUCAACCGGGGAGGGUCAUUGGAAACUGGGAGACUUGAGUGCAGAAGAGGAGAGUGGAAUUCCACGUGUAGCGGUGAAAUGCGUAGAGAUGUGGAGGAACACCAGUGGCGAAGGCGACUCUCUGGUCUGUAACUGACGCUGAGGCGCGAAAGCGUGGGGAGCGAACAGGAUUAGAUACCCUGGUAGUCCACGCCGUAAACGAUGAGUGCUAAGUGUUAGAGGGUUUCCGCCCUUUAGUGCUGCAGCAAACGCAUUAAGCACUCCGCCUGGGGAGUACGGCCGCAAGGCUGAAACUCAAAGGAAUUGACGGGGGCCCGCACAAGCGGUGGAGCAUGUGGUUUAAUUCGAAGCAACGCGAAGAACCUUACCAGGUCUUGACAUCCUCUGACAA